rnacentral:lncRNA from 1 species
UAGGCUAGAGAGAAAGAAUAAAGAAAAUUGGACAAGCAGAGCCUCUUGUAAGAAAGAAAGAAGAUUUCUGAAUACCCGAGACUCCUCGGCGUGCACCCCUAUUUAUAUUGCACGUAAAGGUGCAAUCCAAAACAUCUCACGCCCUCUUACAAUUUAUCUCAUGCCUCUUGUCUAUUUCUCAUGCCCCAUAAGUUAAGAAAUGCCAUGUGUACAUCAAAGUUGGGUUGAAGAGACGCCUUAUUUCAGAAAGACUUUUCGAUCUUAACUUACGGUGUUCAGAUGAGAAGUCACGAAGCUUCUCUUAUUGGUGCCAUCAACCCAUGCCUUUGGAUCUGGAAGGAAGCCUAUCCAAUGGCCAAGAUAGAUGGUGCCAAUUUCAAGAAUGACGCAAGAGAUUAAGGGGCGUGGAUAAUUUAAAACUUAUCUCCCCAUUUGAAAUUUCAAAGGGGCGCUUCCAAGAGGUGGCGCAUGGAUUUAAUCCU